UGGGGAAUAUUGGACAAUGGGCGCAAGCCUGAUCCAGCAAUGCCGCGUGUGUGAAGAAGGCCUUCGGGUUGUAAAGCACUUUCAGCAGGGAGGAAAAGCCUGGGGUUAAUACCCCCGGGUCUUGACGUUAUCUGCAGAAGAAGCACCGGCUAACUCCGUGCCAGCAGCCGCGGUAAUACGGAGGGUGCAAGCGUUAAUCGGAAUUACUGGGCGUAAAGCGUGCGUAGGCGGUUUAUUAAGUCAGAUGUGAAAGCCCCGGGCUUAACCUGGGAACUGCAUUUGAUACUGGUAAACUAGAGUUUGGUAGAGGAAGGUAGAAUUCCUAGUGUAGCGGUGAAAUGCGUAGAUAUUAGGAGGAAUACCAGUGGCGAAGGCGGCCUUCUGGACCAAAACUGACGCUGAGGUACGAAAGCGUGGGUAGCAAACA
rnacentral:rRNA from 1 species